GGAAUAUUGGACAAUGGGCGCAAGCCUGAUCCAGCCAUGCCGCGUGAAGGAUGAAGGCCCUAUGGGUCGUAAACUUCUUUUAUACGGGAAAAAACCCCCCGAUGCGUCGGGGGUUGAUGGUACUGUAAGAAUAAGGGUCGGCUAACUUCGUGCCAGCAGCCGGGGGAAUACGAAGGACCCAAGCGUUAUCCGGAUUUAUUGGGUUUAAAGGGUGCGUAGGCGGAUUAGUAAGUCAGUGGUGAAAGCCCAUCGCCCAACGGUGGAACUGCCAUUGAUACUGCUAAUCUUGAGUAUGGUUGAGGUGGGCGGAAUGUGUCAUGUAGCGGUGAAAUGCUUAGAUAUGACACAGAACACCAAUUGCGAAGGCAGCUCGCUAAACCAUAACUGACGCUGAUGCACGAAAGCGUGGGGAGCAAAC
rnacentral:rRNA from 1 species